AUUGAACGCUGGCGGAGUGCUUUACACAUGCAAGUCGAACGGCAGCACGGAGCUUGCUCUGGUGGCGAGUGGCGAACGGGUGAGUAAUAUAUCGGAACGUACCCUAGAGUGGGGGAUAACGUAGCGAAAGUUACGCUAAUACCGCAUACGAUCUAAGGAUGAAAGUGGGGGAUCGCAAGACCUCAUGCUCGUGGAGCGGCCGAUAUCUGAUUAGCUAGUUGGUAGGGUAAAAGCCUACCAAGGCAUCGAUCAGUAGCUGGUCUGAGAGGACGACCAGCCACACUGGAACUGAGACACGGUCCAGACUCCUACGGGAGGCAGCAGUGGGGAAUUUUGGACAAUGGGCGAAAGCCUGAUCCAGCAAUGCCGCGUGAGUGAAGAAGGCCUUCGGGUUGUAAAGCUCUUUUGUCAGGGAAGAAACGGUGAAAGCUAAUAUCUUUUGCUAAUGACGGUACCUGAAGAAUAAGCACCGGCUAACUACGUGCCAGCCGCCGCCGUAAUAC
rnacentral:rRNA from 1 species